GAUGAGAACUUUUCCGUGAAAUUUGCCAUCAGCGGAUCCAGUCGAGCCUACCUCAUGGCUGAGGUCUCCUUUGCUGCCUCAGUUGUGAACCUUUGCACCUCUGGCUCAUGCCUGGAAAAGAAAAUGUGUAAAUACCUUACACUUAACACUGCUUCCAGCAGAGCCAGACCCAGGCAUUUCUGAAACACCAGUGCAGUACAGCUUGUGCACUGCUCCUGGGAGCAGCACAGAGCAGCUGCUGGAUGGCUUUGGGGCAGAUGGAGGAAGAUGUGGGAGCAAAGAGUGAACCCAUGUAACUGCACUUCUCUGGGUCUCAUGGAAGUACAAUAACAGCUUGAAGUAAAAUCACUGUUUAUGGACUCAUCAGAACAGCAUUUGUGCAAAACUUGCUGGGUUCCUCUCCAUCCCCUCUUUUUCUGUUGGAAGAUGGGUAAGAUGGCCUGAGCAAAGUUUUAAAUCUGUUUCAGUUCUUGGCCUCUGAGACAGAUUUUGUAUUUUCAUGUAAAACUGCCUUUUAUGACAGAUCUCAGAAACAGACACUAGCUUUUCUAGCCAGCAAGAAAAAGAGAUAAAAUAAUUUAAAGAGUUUUCAAGUUUCACUGUUGCCAAUGAUCAGCUUGCCACAGAAGCUCUAAAUGAUGGGCUGGUGCUACAACUAAGGUGGUAUAACAGCUAUUGCUGCUAAGUCAGCUCCCCUCCCUUUCCUGUCCUUGGUCUCCUGCUACUGUUUCUCUGAAACUAGAGUGAGGCAGCUCAUAGAGAUCAAACAAAAAUAAUAAAAAAAAAUGUGUGGGUGGUUUUUUGUUUUGCUUUGUAGGGGGGUUUUUUGUGUUUUUUUGGUGUCUUUAUUCUUAAUUGUGAACCGCCACGACUUUAGUUGCACGAUAAUUUUAGAUUGAUGUGAGCUGUGUAAAGUGGUCAACUCUGGCUCUUCCCUGCUUGUGCUCCUGUUGGAUCUCACAUCCCCUGUGUUGGGGGGAAGACCUUUGCUCUGAUCUGGAGGAAAUUCAUCUCCCCAUUCCACUCCCUAAUUUUUCUCCAGGUUAGUUUAGAGAUGCUUUCAUGAUAUGGCUGAUUACAUAGCUGUACAAAUACUAGGAGGAGGGGACAGGACCUCCUGUAGCUGGUAAAUUCUACUUGUUUUGACUGAGAUAUAACAUGGAAGGGCUACUUCAAAUAUGCCCUUGUAAAACUGGAUCUGUUUUGCCAGCACUAAAUCAUUUAUUCUCUACUUUCAUUGAAGGUAAAUUAGUGCAGAAUACAGCUCGAUGGAAAGAAAAUACAUAGGAUGAGAAGAGACUGAAGCAUAAAUGGUAAAACAUCAUGGGGUCCUCUCAGAAGUCUUUUUUCUUCCAAAGAAAUGGAGAUUGGCUUCAAUAAGGAAAAUAUAAUCUCUAAAACAUUCCUGCAUUUUAUGUUAGUUACUUACUUCCAGGGGAAGAUGAAUUUUGGGAUGGCACAUGAAGGGGCAAAUAAACUAUCAUGAGUUGAAUAUCCCAUUAAGAAAAUGCAUGCUUCUGGCUUUGUUUUCUUUCUUCUUCCCACAGCACCCAGCCAGACUGCUCAGAUCAGCACCCUACCAAUGGCAGCCUCAUUCUCAUAAACACACAAAGCCCCAAAAAGAAACUGAGCAAAUAUUUCCUGUGCAGAUGGUCCCCUCUGCCUUCACUGCCCAAAUGUAAAUGGGUGCAGAAAUUUCCAGAUGAAAGUUUAUGACAUAAAUGAAUCCCUGGUGGUUGAUUUUUGUUUUCCUCUGUGAAGUCCACACAAUGGGAGGCGGCUGCUUAUCACCGACUGCAGCUUUCUGGGCCCUCAGAAUUGCAGAGAAGACCUGAAGAGCCAUGGGAGGAGGGGAGUUCUCCCAGCAAAUCUUCACAGCAUCUCUCUGUUAUCCAUGCUUUCUCCUCACUCCCCCACCUCCCAGCCCAACAAAAAACCCCAAGGUUUAUUUGAACUCUUGUAAUUAGAUCUGUCUGGGAGAGCAACCAAAGUGUCAAGGUUUCAAAGAGAAAUUCAGAGAAGUCAAGAGCAAGUAGAGACUUGAAAAGGGAAGUCGAAAAAGAAAGCUAGUCUUUAUCAUGGUAAUAGUAAUGAAGCCAAGCUGAAAAAGGCCAGACGAGGGGCUGGGUUACUGUACUGUGAAGUGCCAGGGCAGCAUCCCGAGAGAGGGGAUUAGAGAACCACGCCAGCCCUCGGGACCGCUGUCAUUUCUGGUCCUCCCUCGGAGCAGCGGUGGAGCGGGAAGCGCCCCGGCAGCAAACCCUGACUGACUGCGGGAGGCAGCGUUCGGAUGGGCAGGAGGAGGUUUCUCCCGCUGGAGAUGGGCGGGGAGCCGAUCCAGAGAGCGAAGGGAUCGUGGAAAAUGAUUUCCCGGCGCAGGAACCCCCAUUUCUGUGAAGCCGCCGCGCAAAAUCUCCGGCCCUGUGCGAGCGCAUCCUCCCCGGGUACCCCCUCCUUCGGCGCUGCAAUCGGGCUUCUAAUCAAUUAGGCAAAUUGACUGCAGGAGUGAGCUAUUUCCUACUCCUGGCAACAAAACCGGCUCAUGUUAACUCCAUGUUUCCCAGGAGCCCUGCUCUUCCCCACCUUAUUUUUUUUCUUUUUUUUUUUUUAUUUUUUAUUUUUUCUUUUUUUACGAAAAAAGCAGAGGAGUUUCUCGUAACUGUGCACUGUUACUCCAGACACCAAAAUAAUUUUGCUAAGUGUGGGAGGAUUGCGAUGAUCCUUUGAAAAAUUGUAAAUUCGGAUUCCAAGGGACAAAUAUUCCAGUUAAACAGGAAUUGGGAGCAUUUUCUCUUUAAAUGCCAUUCAGCCAAAGACACGGGCGCACAUGAGCAGAUUCACAUGUGGCCAGAGAACUAGUCCUGCAUGUAUUUAACUCUCGAGGCAUCGAGCAUGAGGUGCCACUUGGCAAAUACAGCUGGAAAAGUCCUGAGGACGGGAGUUCCAGAUGAAACCUAAGCUGCACUUUCCCUUGCUGUUGUCCUUCGUAUCAGGAGUUAUUUCUACCGGGCUCCACAUAAAAAAAUCACCCAAGUCCCAAAGAUGUAGGCACAACGUAUUGGCCAAGGGAUGUCACAUCCGUUCUUAAGCAAUAUUUUACAUAUACCAGACUACUGGUUUCACAGAUUGUUUCCAAAGAUGUCACCGGGCUGGCACUGAUUCUAAUGGUUUUGUUCUGUCUGAUUUAAUUUGCUGUCUCAGGAGUUUAGUUUGCUGUAACUUUUAACAAGUGCUACAUAUGGGACAGAAAAAAAACAUCCCCCAGAGGGCUGAAUCAGCUGCUUUCCAAAAUGUGCAGCCGAGCAGCCCAGCAAGCACAUGGCCCUGCUCCUGUUUCUGUACAGUCCCAGCCAUUGCUGGGUCUCACUCUAGUGGGACACAGAAUGCUGGAAGUGUUUUAGAAAGAGUCAUCCACACCAAUAUUCUAGAAAUUGAAAGUGGACCCUGCAUUAAGAAUGAUUCCUGAAAUCUUCUGAAGCUCAGCUCCAGAGCCUUAGCUCACAGCUGGUCCUGAAAACACUCAGAAAUUCUAGAGAUCAAGUAACUCUCAUUAGAAAUAAAAUAACUUCUUUGUUGUUGUUGUUUUUUUGUUUUGUUGUUUUUUUUGCUAGAUCUGUUUCCUUGAAGAGGCAGGCAAAUAAUUCAAGCUACUGAAUUCACACAGAAAAGGAAAACAAAAGCCUCAAUGAAUUUACCAUCAUAUCUAUAUCUAUAUAUAUAUAUAUAUAAAUUAAAGAUUGUUGAGAUUAAAAAUUGCUACUCAAAGUCAUUAAUGACCAUUUAUUUAUUCAUUGUAAAUUACAUGUAAAUAUACAUUUCAUGCACGAGGGAUGGUGUCACACAGUAAUAAUAAUGAAAAUAAUGAAUAAUAAUAAUGAAAAGCAGAGAGUGUUAGUGACAAGUCAUGUUUGCUUGCUGGACCAGUUAGCAGAAUAGGGGGAGUUAAAAGCUAUCUAUUUUCAGAUACAUAAUAUAAACAUUAUAUUUUAUAAAGAAAAUUUCAUAUUUCUACAGCAAUUCCAAUAUGAUAAAAAACUGUAAUUAAACCAAAUAUUUUUUACGCUGGAUCUUUUUUUGUUAUAGCAUUUCUGGGCCUAGUGCAUCAAAUUGAGUGUUUAGGAAUUUCAAGAGGUCAUUAAAUGUCCAGUGUUACACAGUAUUAUACAGACAAUAUUUAUCUCCUGAUUAUAAUAUGAAAUUUCCUUUGAGUAAACUCAGUUGACAGUAGUCACAGUGUCAAUUUUUUUUUUUUUACUUACACUACAAAAACCUGUAAAAGAAAUAUUUUCAACAUGAA